AAAAUGAGAGUCUAGCUGUCUCUUAUAAUAAAUCAAUUAAACUGAUCUUCUAGUAAAAAAGCUAGAAUAUAACCAUAAGACCAGAAGACCCUGUGAAGCUUAAACUAAAAUAUUAAACCACAUAAUGACUACUUUCGGUUGGGGCGACCUUGGAAAAAAAAGGAACUUCCAACAAUACGACCUCCCUCGUACCACACCUUUAGGCAUACAAGCCAACUAAUGACCCAGCAAGACUGAUAAUUGAACCAAGUUACUCCAGGGAUAACAGCGCAAUCCUCUUCAAGAGCCCAUAUCAAAAAGAGGGUUUACGACCUCGAUGUUGGAUCAGGACAUCCUAAUGGUGCAGACGCUAUUAAGGGUUCGUUUGUUCAACGAUUAACAGUCCUACGUGAUCUGA
rnacentral:rRNA from 1 species